CUACGUGCCAGCAGCCGCGGUAAUACGUAGGGUGCGAGCGUUAAUCGGAAUUACUGGGCGUAAAGCGGGCGCAGACGGUUACUUAAGCAGGAUGUGAAAUCCCCGGGCUUAACCUGGGAACUGCGUUCUGAACUGGGUGACUAGAGUGUGUCAGAGGGAGGUAGAAUUCCACGUGUAGCAGUGAAAUGCGUAGAGAUGUGGAGGAAUACCGAUGGCGAAGGCAGCCUCCUGGGAUAACACUGACGUUCAUGCUCGAAAGCGUGGGUAGCAAACAGGAUUAGAUACCCUGGUAGUCCACGCCCUAAACGAUGUCAAUUAGCUGUUGGGCAACUUGAUUGCUUAGUAGCGUAGCUAACGCGUGAAAUUGACCACCUGGGGAGUACGGUCGCAAGAUUAAAACUCAAAGGAAUUGACGGGGACCCGCACAAGCGGUGGAUGAUGUGGAUUAAUUCGAUGCAACGCGAAGAACCUUACCUGGUCUUGACAU
rnacentral:rRNA from 1 species